rnacentral:rRNA from 1 species
AAUAGAUACCCAGGUAGUCCAGCCUUAAACGACUGCAUACUAGAUGUAGGGAGGCUCGAACCCUUUCUGUAUCGGAGUUAACGCAUUAAGUAUGCCGCCUGGGGAGUACGCUCGCAAGGGUGAAACCCAAAAGAAUUGACGGGGGCCCGCACAAGCAGCGGAGCGUGUGGUUUAAUUCGUCGCAACGCGAAGAACCUUACCAGGGCUUGACAUGUGGCGGAAAACGGCGGAAGCGUCGUCCUCCCGCAAGGGACCGUCAUGCAGGUGUUGCAUGGCUGUCGUCAGCUCGUGUCGUGAGAUGUUGGGUUAAGUCCCGCAACGAGCGCAACCCCCGCGGCAUGUUGUAUCUCUCAUGCCAGACUGCCGAGAGAAACUCGGAGGAAGGUGGGGAUGACGCCAAGUCAGCAUGGCCCUUACGUCCUGGGCUACACACACGCUACAAUGGCCGGUACAACGGGUUGCCAAACCGCGAGGUGGAGCUAAUCCCUUAAAGCCGGUCUCAGUUCGGAUUGCAGGCUGCAACUCG